CACAUGCAAGUCGGAUGUGCCGCAAGGUGCAUGGCAGACGGGUGAGUAACGCGUGGGGAAUCUACCUCUUUGUGGGGAAUAACGCUCCGAAAGGAGUGGUAAUACCGCAUGAGAUCCAUGGCUGGGAUGCUGUGGAUGAAACCUGGGGACCGCAAGGCCUGGGGCAAGGAGAGGAUCCUGCGUCUGAUUAGCUAGUUGGUGAGGUAAUGGCCCACCAAGGCGACGAUCAGUAGCCGGCCUGAGAGGGUGAUCGGCCACACUGGAACUGAGACACGGUCCAGACUCCUACGGGAGGCAGCAGUGGGGAAUUUUGCGCAAUGGGCGAAAGCCUGACGCAGCAACGCCGCGUGGGUGAUGAAGGUCUUCGGAUCGUAAAACCCUGUCGUCGGGGACGAAGGUGGAGGGGUUAAUAGCCUCUUUGCUUGACGGUACCCGGAGAGGAAGCCCCGGCUAACUCUGUGCCAGCAGCCGCGGUAAUACAGAGGGGGCAAGCGUUAUUCGGAAUUAUUGGGCGUAAAGGGCGCGUAGGCGGCUUUUUAAGUGAGAUGUGUAAUCCCUGAGCUCAACUUGGGAACUGCAUCUCAUACUGGGAGGCUAGAGUACUGGAGAGGGUGGUAGAAUUCCACGUGUAGCGGUGAAAUGCGUAGAGAUGUGGAGGAAUACCAGUGGCGAAGGCGGCCACCUGGACAGUAACUGACGCUGAGGCGCGAAAGUGUGGGUAGCAAACAGGAUUAGAUACCCUGGUAGUCCACACUGUAAACGAUGAACACUUGGUGUGGAGGGAGUUGACCCCUUCCGUGCCGUAGCUAAC
rnacentral:rRNA from 1 species